GACGAACGCUGGCGGCGUGCUUAACACAUGCAAGUCGAACGAGGCCCCUCCUUCGGGAGAGUGUCCUAGUGGCGAACGGGUGAGUAACACGUGGGCAACCUGCCCCCGGCUCUGGGAUAACCCCAAGAAAUUGGGGCUAAUACCGGAUAUGACCGCUGACCGCAUGGUCGGUGGUGGCAAGUUUUUUCGGCUGGGGAUGGGCCCGCGGCCUAUCAGCUUGUUGGUGGGGUAGGGGCCUACCAAGGCGACGACGGGUAGCCGGCCUGAGAGGGUGACCGGCCACACUGGGACUGAGACACGGCCCAGACUCCUACGGGAGGCAGCAGUGGGGAAUAUUGCGCAAUGGGCGGAAGCCUGACGCAGCGACGCCGCGUGGGGGAUGACGGCCUUCGGGUUGUAAACCUCUUUCAGCAGGGACGAAGCGAAAGUGACGGUACCUGCAGAAGAAGCACCGGCCAACUACGUGCCAGCAGCCGCCGCCG
rnacentral:rRNA from 1 species